rnacentral:rRNA from 1 species
UAAGACAGAGGUGCCAAGCGUUAGGCGGAAUCACUGGGCUUAAAGCGUGUGUAGGCGGAUUUGUAAGUACCUUGUGAAAUCCCACGGCUCAACCGUGGAACUGCUUGGUAUACUGCUUAUCUUGAGCCACUUAGGGGCUGUCGGAACAAACGGUGGAGCGGUGAAAUGCGUAGAUAUCGUUUGGAACGCCAAAGGUGAAAACAGACAGCUGGGAGUGUGCUGACGCUGAGACACGAAAGCCAGGGGAGCGAACGGGAUUAGAUACCCCGGUAGUCCUGGCCCUAAACGAUGUCGACUAGAUCGUGGCGGCUCUGACGUCGUCACGGUCGAAGCAAAAGUGCUAAGUCGACCGCCUGGGAAGUACGGUCGCAAGGCUA